ACUUUUUGGUUUUGUAAUUGGAAUGAGUUAAGUAUAAACCCCUUUACAAGUAUCAAUUGGAGGGCAAGUCUGGUGCCAGCAGCCGCGGUAAUUCCAGCUCCAAUAGCGUAUAUUAAAGUUGUUGCAGUUAAAAAGCUCGUAGUUGGAUUUCUGUUAAUAAUUUAUAUAUUAUAUUUUGAUAAAUAUUUAUAUAAUA
rnacentral:rRNA from 2 species